GUGAGGGACUUAUCUGGGGUGCUCCUUCCUCCUCCGUUUGUGGUCACAGACAGGAAGUCACAGGAUGGUGCCAUCCUUCAGUGGCUCACUGUCUGUGGCUCUGCCUUCCUCCCCAUGUCUCCUUCCCCGGAUUUUCCUCCCCUAUAUUUCCCUACCCCUGGGCAUUUUCUGGCUCAACUGGAUGGACAGAGAUUUAGGAACCUACCAGUUGGCCAUGAUGUCUUGUCUUUUUUUUUUAACAAAACAGAACAAAACCAAAAAAACCCUAGACAAUGGUGUUUGGUUGAUUUAUUUACAAUUAAGAGACAGGGAAUUACUGGGGAUGGGAGAGCUGUCUUAGAUGGUAAAAGGACUGCAAGGGGUCAGCUAGUUCACCCUCCUAUUCCCUGCAUCCUCUUCCUGGGAGGCCGCUCUGUCCUCAAGUCUGUGCUGUCUGUGUACAGACUCCUGGUGGGUCAGUAAUGGCUUCGGAAGGGAGGGAGCGAGCAGGGACAGCCUUGCUGGGCCAAAGCUAUUUCUGAGAUCAGUUGGUGAGUGAAGCGGGGGCAUUUUCUAGGGCAUCAGGCAGAUCGGGUUUGUGUCUGGAUUUGAUUUAUCAAUUUAGUUGGGGGAGGGACUGCCCUGAAGCUGGGGAAAGGGGAUAAGCUCUCCAAUUCAUUCCACAGCUCCGACUGCCUGGAUUCUUGACUGGGGGCUGCACUGAGGUUUGCUUCUGAGGGUUUGGGAGUGCGGUUGGUUAUCUUUAAUCUCAUUGUCCUGGGCUCACCGGACUGCGGGCUCUCAGUGCCAGCCCUAGAAUGUGUGUCCACGUGGCACCACUGGAUUCCUGGUCAUCUCCCAGUGCUUCUCACCCCUCACUUCUGUGGAGUGUGUGUGUGUACAUGGAUUUGAUCUCUUGAGGUGCUCCCAGGCUUCUCAGUUUCACUGGCCCUGAUGCACUGGGACCUGUGCUGUCUGAGUCUUGUGACUGGGGCUGCGAUCCUCAUCUCUCUGGCUCUGCCUUGGUGGCGGCAUCCCACAGCCAUCUAGUUUUCCCAAGGCACUGCAAGCUGCUGCCUGCCGCAGGAGAUAAAGAACAGAGCAACGCUCCUUCAGCCAGGGGGCUGCCCUUCAUAGAGCUUCUGGGGCUGAGGCCCAGGCAUACAGGGGGAGGAGGCGAGUGUGGGCUGACAG
rnacentral:lncRNA from 1 species